GGUGAAAAGCACCCCGGAAGGGGAGUGAAAUAGAACCUGAAACCGUGUGCUUACAAGUAGUCAGAGCCCGUUAAUGGGUGAUGGCGUGCCUUUUGUAGAAUGAACCGGCGAGUUACGAUUUGAUGCAAGGUUAAGCAGUAAAUGUGGAGCCGUAGCGAAAGCGAGUCUGAAUAGGGCGUUUAGUAUUUGGUCGUAGACCCGAAACCAGGUGAUCUACCCUUGGUCAGGUUGAAGUUCAGGUAACACUGAAUGGAGGACCGAACCGACUUACGUUGAAAAGUGAGCGGAUGAACUGAGGGUAGCGGAGAAAUUCCAAUCGAACCUGGAGAUAGCUGGUUCUCUCCGAAAUAGCUUUAGGGCUAGCCUCAAGUGAUGAUUAUUGGAGGUAGAGCACUGUUUGGACGAGGGGCCCCUCUCGGGUUACCGAAUUCAGACAAACUCCGAAUGCCAAUUAAUUUAACUUGGGAGUCAGAACAUGGGUGAUAAGGUCCGUGUUCGAAAGGGAAACAGCCCAGACCACCAGCUAAGGUCCCAAAAUAUAUGUUAAGUGGAAAAGGAUGUGGCGUUGCCCAGACAACUAGGAUGUUGGCUUAGAAGCAGCCAUCAUUUAAAGAGUGCGUAAUAGCUCACUAGUCGAGUGACACUGCGCCGAAAAUGUACCGGGGCUAAACAUAUUACCGAAGCUGUGGAUUGUCCUUUGGACAAUGGUAGGAGAGCGUUCUAAGGGCGUUGAAGCAUGAUCGUAAGGACAUGUGGAGCGCUUAGAAGUGAGAAUGCCGGUGUGAGUAGCGAAAGACGGGUGAGAAUCCCGUCCACCGAUUGACUAAGGUUUCCAGAGGAAGGCUCGUCCGCUCUGGGUUAGUCGGGUCCUAAGCUGAGGCCGACAGGCGUAGGCGAUGGAUAACAGGUUGAUAUUCCUGUACCACCUAUAAUCGUUUUAAUCGAUGGGGGGACGCAGUAGGAUAGGCGAAGCGUGCGAUUGGAUUGCACGUCUAAGCAGUAAGGCUGAGUAUUAGGCAAAUCCGGUACUC
rnacentral:rRNA from 1 species